rnacentral:rRNA from 1 species
UACGAAGGGGGGCUAGCGUUGCUCGGAAUUACUGGGCGUAAAGGGCGCGUAGGCGGUCAUUUUAGUCAGGCGUGAAAUUCCCGGGCUUAACCUGGGGACUGCGUUUGAUACUGGGUGACUUGAGGGUGGAAGAGGGUCGUGGAAUUCCCAGUGUAGAGGUGAAAUUCGUAGAUAUUGGGAAGAACACCGGUGGCGAAGGCGGCGACCUGGUCCAUUACUGACGCUGAGGCGCGACAGCGUGGGGAGCAAACAGG